rnacentral:tRNA from 1 species
GGGAAAGUAGCGCGUAACUGGUAGCGUCCCGGACUGUAAAUUCGGUGCCUUAACUGGCCUUGCAGGUUCAAAUCCUGUCUUUCCCCCA